UCGGAGAGUUUGAUCCUGGCUCAGGACGAACGCUGGCGGCGUGCCUAAUACAUGCAAGUCGAGCGAACAGAAGGGAGCUUGCUCCCGGAUGUUAGCGGCGGACGGGUGAGUAACACGUGGGUAACCUGCCUGUAAGACUGGGAUAACUCCGGGAAACCGGAGCUAAUACCGGAUAGUUCCUUGAACCGCAUGGUUCAAGGAUGAAAGACGGUUUCGGCUGUCACUUACAGAUGGACCCGCGGCGCAUUAGCUAGUUGGUGGGGUAAUGGCUCACCAAGGCGACGAUGC
rnacentral:rRNA from 1 species